CUUCCGACCGGAAGUGCGUCUGCCGCGCGCCUUCGGCUCGGGAUUGGGAAGGCGGCGGGAGCCACGUGCUCCAUCAGGUCGGAGCGGAUGGGCACCUUCGCCCCAAACGCGUGACCGGUCUCAGGUCCCCCAGGGGGACGUUGGCUCUCGGCGUCCAGCCCCGCCCUGGGGCGGUAACGAAGCUGCGGGAGCCGAGACUUCGGGGACCGCUCCCCGCCUUGCAGCCGGAGCUGGGACGGAGGAGGCCGAACGCAGGCAUCGGAAUCGGGAUGAGGGGCAGUAGGAGGCGCUGCCCCCCCACGGCAAGGCCUGGGCUUUGCCGGCUGGCGCCCAGGGAGGGCUUCUGGGGCCGUGUGAACAUCCAGUGAGACUCGUCCUCCUAGAGCAAGUGGUGUCCCUCUCUUUCCCCAGGGUUUUCUCAGAAAGUGAGAGCUCUCCAGGCGCUGGCGUUUGGAUGGAGCCGAGCUACCUUUGUUACCUCCUCGCCGACGGUGAGAGUUUUCGGAGCGACCUCAGUUUGGGGGGCCGAGAGGUGAGUUUCUCGGAAGCGGUGUGCUCGCACGUGGGGCGGAGUCGCUGGUCUCCUUUCUGUCCGCUUGUCUGCGCUGAAGCGUGGUGUUUUGUUGCGGGACCUCCCUGGUCGGUUUGGUGUAAUUCUUACUGACCUAAUUGUUAAAUGCGGACCUGCCUAGGACCUGCUUUGUAUGAGUGUGAAUAAAAGGACUCAGACCCCA